rnacentral:piRNA from 1 species
AGGGGAUUGAAUGUGACUAUUCAAGAACA